rnacentral:rRNA from 1 species
UACGGGGGAGGGACAGCUGUUCGUGAAUUACUGGGCGUAAAGGGCUCGUAGGCGGCCAUAAGUCGGACGUGAAAUCCCUCGGCUCAACCGGGGAACUGCGUCCGAUACUGGCGGGCUUGAAUUCGGGAGAGAGAUGUGGAAUUCCAGGUGUAGCGGUGAAAUGCGUAGAUAUCUGGAGGAACACCGGUGGCGAAGGCGGCAUCCUGGACCGACAUUGACGCUGAGGCGCGAAAGCCAGGGGAGCAAACGGG